CACCGCGGUUAUACGAGCGACCCAAGUUGACAAACCCCGGCGUAAAGCGUGGUUAGGGAAACCCAAAAACUAAAGCCGAAUGCCUUCAAGGCAGUUAUACGCAAUCCGAAAAUACGAAGCCCCACCACGAAAGUGGCUUUACCACCCCUGACUCCACGAAAGCUAUGACA
rnacentral:rRNA from 1 species